UACAGAGGUGGCAAGCGUUGUUCGGAAUUACUGGGCGUAAAGGGCGCGUAGGCGGUCUGCCAAGUCCCGUGUGAAAGCCCCCGGCUCAACCGGGGAACGGCGCGGGAAACUAGCGGGAUUGAGUUCGGGAGAGGGAAGCGGAAUCCCGGGUGUAGCGGUGAAAUGCGCAGAUAUACGGAGGAACACCGGUGGCGAAGGCGGCUUCCUGGACCGACACUGACGCUGAGGCGCGAAAGCUAGGGGAGCAAACGGG
rnacentral:rRNA from 1 species